rnacentral:misc_RNA from 1 species
GAUGAAGAACGGCGGCGAAAUGCGAUACGUAAUGUGAAUUGCAGAAUUCAGUGAAUCAUCGAGUCUUUGAACGCACAUUGCGCCCCCUGGUAUUCCGGGGGGCAUGCCUGUCCGAGCGUCAUUGCUGCCCUCAAGCACGGCUUGUGUGUUGGGCCUCCGUCCUCCUCCCGGGGGACGGGCCCGAAAGGCAGCGGCGGCACCGCGUCCGGUCCUCGAGCGUAUGGGGCUUCGUCACCCGCUCUUGUAGGCCCGGCCGGCGCUUGCCGACACAUCAAUCUUUUUUCCAGGUUGACCUCGGAUCAGGUAGGGAUACCCGCUGAACUUAAGCAUAUCAAUAAGCGGAGGA